AUUGAACGCUGGCGGCAGGCCUAACAUAUGCAAGUCGAACGGUAACAGGAAGACGCUUGCUUCUUUGCUGACGAGUGGCGGACGGGUGAGUAAUGUCUGGGAAACUGCCUGAUGGAGGGGGAUAACUACUGGAAACGGUAGCUAAUACCGCAUAACGUCGCAAGACCAAAGAGGGGGACCUUCGGGCCUCUUGCCAUCGGAUGUGCCCAGAUGGGAUUAGCUAGUAGGUGGGGUAACGGCUCACCUAGGCGACGAUCCCUAGCUGGUCUGAGAGGAUGACCAGCCACACUGGAACUGAGACACGGUCCAGACUCCUACGGGAGGCAGCAGUGGGGAAUAUUGCACAAUGGGCGCAAGCCUGAUGCAGCCAUGCCGCGUGUAUGAAGAAGGCCUUCGGGUUGUAAAGUACUUUCAGCGGGGAGGAAGGGAGUAAAGUUAAUACCUUUGCUCAUUGACGUUACCCGCAGAAGAAGCACCGGCUAACUCCGUG
rnacentral:rRNA from 1 species